UUUUUUUGAGUGAAUUUUCCGCAAAAUUUUAUUUCGUUUUUUUUUUUGCUUCUCUUCAUAAAAUUUACAUUUUAGUUAAAAAUAUAAAAAAAAAAUUGUUCUGGACUUAUUUAAUAAACAUCUUAGUCUAAAAUAUUUAGUAAAGUCUUAUACUUGCAACAGUUAAUAACUGUGUCCUAAACACUUUUCAAAUCAAACAAAUAUAAAAAUACUUAAAAAGCAAUCAACAUGAGUGAAGGCAAAAGUUUAUUGUCCACCUUCGCCAUUUUGGCCGUUUUAUUGACUUUCUUGUACAUUUUGUACGCCAUCUUCUAGACAGGAACUACGUUUAUUUAAUGAUGACAACAAUUACGUUAAUUAGUUUAUAGACGUUUUUUAAUUUAGCAAUAUGUUCCACACGAUCAGUAAAUGAAAAAAAUCCCUUUUCAAAAUGAAUGAAGCCAAAAGUUUAUUCACCACCUUUGUCAUCCUUGCUCUUUUGUUGUCAUUAUUGUACAUUUUCUACGAAAUCGCUUUCUAAACAAAAAUUUUCUAACGUUUUAUUUAAAUUAAUUAAUUAAUUUUCUUAAUAACACAAAAAAAAAAAUCAUGUCUUGAAAUAAUGUUUUUAUUAUAAUAACAACAACAAAAAAAGUAACCGUUGCCUUUAUAUCAAAAAGAAAAAAAAAAAAAUGAAAAUAUUCCAAAUAUUGCCGUAAAAUUUAAGAAGAGAAACUUAAGCAGCUAGUAAUCGUAAUGGAUUUUAUUCUAACAACAAAAACACUAUUAGUUUUAUAAGGAGAAAAACAACAAAAUUAAAGUUGACGUCAUGACAGUGCUUUGAGUUGCUGUAGCUUAAUAUGCCAAAAACAAAUUAAGAGCUUUUGAGGUCAACUUUAUGUAGGACUUUUACCUUUUUUUUUAAUAUUUCUUUAUUUUUUACUAAAUUUAGUAUGUUAUACUUAAAAUAAUUGACUUUAUGUACAAGUCUUUGUUUUUUUUUUUAUUAUAAUUAGUUUAUAUUUUUAUGAAAUACAUCAAACCAAAAAGCCUUUUAUAGUAAUUUUGUUUUGUUAAAAAGAAACUUGAAAAAAUUACAUCCUAAAGAAAUGUUUACAAGAAAAUGGUAUCUGUAAAAUAACAUCUGAAAAUUUCUUUAAAUCGGUUUUAUUGAAAACAAAAUAAAAUUAUGAAAAAAAAUCUA